GAGUUUGAUCAUGGCUCAGAUUGAACGCUGGCGGUAUGCUUAACACAUGCAAGUCGAACGGUAACAGGCUAGCUUGCUAGCGCUGACGAGUGGCGGACGGGUGCGUAACGCGUAGGAAUCUGCCUAGUUAGUGGGGACAACCUGGUGAAAACCAGGCUAAUACCGCAUACGCCUACGGGGAAAGGCAGGGGAGUCUUCGGACCUUGCGCUAAUAGAUGAGCCUGCGUUAGAUUAGCUUGUUGGUGAGGUAAUGGCUCACCAAGGCGACGAUCUAUAGCUGGUCUGAGAGGACGAUCAGCCACACUGGGGACUGAGACACGGCCCAGACUCCUACGGGAGGACAGCAGUGGGGAAGUAUUGGACAAUGGGCGGAAGCCUGAUCCAGCAAUACCGCGUGUGUGAAGAAGGCCUGAGGGUUGUAAA
rnacentral:rRNA from 1 species